UCUUAUUUUGUUUAUAAGUUAUUAAACCUUUUGUUUGGAAAACAAAUAUACUAUAUUAUACUAACAAAAUUUGUU
rnacentral:tRNA from 1 species